UUUUCCGGUUGAUCCUGCCGGACCUGACUGCUAUCGGACUGAUACUAAGCCAUGCGAGUCAUUGUAGCAAUACAAGGCAGACGGCUCAGUAACGCGUAGUCAAUCUACCCUAUGGACGGGAAUAACCUCGGGAAACUGAGAAUAAUGCCCGGUAGAACAUUAUGCCUGGAAUGGUUUAUGUUUCAAAUGAUUUAUCGCCAUAGGAUGGGACUGCGGCCUAUCAGUUUGUUGGUGAGGUAAUGGCCCACCAAGACUAUUACAGGUACGGGCUCUGAGAGGAGUAGCCCGGAGAUGGGUACUGAGACACGGACCCAGGCCCUAUGGGGCGCAGCAGGCGAGAAAACUUUGCAAUGUGCGAAAGCACGACAAGGUUAAUCCGAGUGGUUUCUGCUAAAGAAACCUUUUGUCAGUCCUAGAAACACUAACGAAUAAGGGGUGGGCAAGUUCUGGUGUCAGCCGCCGCGGUAAAACCAGCACCUCAAGUGGUCAGGAUGAUUAUUGGGCCUAAAGCAUCCGUAGCUCGUUUUGUAAGUUUUCGGUUAAAUCCAUGCGCUUAACGUAUGGGCUGCCGGGAAUACUGCAUAACUAGGAAGUGGGAGAGGUAGACGGUACUCGGGAGGAAGGGGUAAAAUCCUUUGAUCUCUUGAUGACCACCUGUGGCGAAAGCGGUCUACCAGAACACGUUCGACGGUGAGGGAUGAAAGCUGGGGGAGCAAACCGGAUUAGAUACCCGGGUAGUCCCAGCUGUAAACUAUGCAAACUCAGUGAUGCAUUGGCUUAUGGCCAAUGCAGUGCUGCAGGGAAGCCGUUAAGUUUGCCGCCUGGGAAGUACGUACGCAAGUAUGAAACUUAAAGGAAUUGGCGGGGGAGCAC
rnacentral:rRNA from 1 species